AAGUCGUAACAAGGUUUCCGUAGGUGAACCUGCGGAAGGAUCAUUAAGAAUGAUGAAAUCAUACACACUGUGAACAAGACACUAUACAUAAUAAUUACAAGAGAAUAAAAACAACUUUUAGCAACGGAUCUCUAGGUUCUC
rnacentral:misc_RNA from 1 species